GUCUAAACGUUUCUUCUUUUUUGUCUGUGCUGGUGUGUGUGCCCGAGCGGAGGAGAGGGAGAGCGGGUGCUUCAGGAGCGGCGGCGGUGGUGGGUACGGCCGGUGAAGGCCGCUCGAGGCCGCUGCGUGUCGUGCGAGGGCUCGAGGGGUGCCAGGCGCGGAGGGAGGGGAGACCUGUCUAAGAGGCGAAGGCCGGAGAUGGCGGGCGAGCGUUGGGGUGGGGGCACCGAUCCCAAAGCCGGUUCCGAAGCGGCCGCGUAGAGGCCGCCGGGGUCUACGUCUACAUCGUGGGGUACCCUCAAGGGGUAGGUGGUGCCACCGUCUAAGAAGUACCUCUACACUACGUUUUCUUCGUGUUACAAGUCACUACUAAUCCCACUACUACAAAUACGUAGAUCCCUUGGUACCUCUAAAAUUGUACACUAUAAAGGAGUUCGUUUGAUUCAAGAAAACGUUAAACGACGAGUUCAACACCGAGAGGACGUC
rnacentral:rRNA from 1 species